rnacentral:rRNA from 1 species
CCUGCCCCUGUGCGGGGGAUAACAGGAGGAAACUCCUGCUAAUACCGCAUAGCCAUGAGCACCGCAUGGAGCUCAUGCCAAAUAUCCUUUAUGGGAUAGCGCAGGGAUGGACCUAUGGCGCAUUAGCUGGUUGGCGGGGCAACGGCCCACCAAGGCAACGAUGCGUAGCCGGCCUGAGAGGGCGGACGGCCACAUUGGGACUGAGACACGGCCCAGACUCCUACGGGAGGCAGCAGUAGGGAAUUUUCGGCAAUGGGGGAAACCCUGACCGAGCAACGCCGCGUGAGCGAAGAAGGCCUUCGGGUCGUAAAGCUCUGUUGUAAAGGAAGAACGGCGCAUACAGGAAAUGGUAUGCGAGUGACGGUACUUUACCAGAAAGCCACGGCUAACUACGUGCCAGCAGCCGCGGUAAUACGUAGGUGGCGAGCGUUAUCCGGAAUCAUUGGGCGUAAAGAGGGAGCAGGCGGCCGCAAGGGUCUGUGGUGAAAGACCGAAGCUAAACUUCGGUAAGCCAUGGAAACCGGGCGGCUAGAGUGCGGAAGAGGAUCGUGGAAUUCCAUGUGUAGCGGUGAAAUGCGUAGAUAUAUGGAGGAACACCAGUGGCGAAAGCGACGGUCUGGGCCGCAACUGACGCUCAU